rnacentral:rRNA from 1 species
AUGGCAGCAUGGGAAUGGAUUGGAGAUGAUGUAACUGAUUUGGUAAGGAAAUUCUAUAUCACAGGUAUCAUGCCUAGUCAUAUUAAUAAUACAAACAUUGUCUUGAUACCAAAGAAAAUUGUUUGCAAGACUCCUGCUGAUUUUAGACCUAUUAGUCUUUGUAAUGUUAUUUACAAAAUCAUUGCUAAAACUUUGGCUAAUAGGUUAAAGCCCCAUCUCCCUGAUUACAUCCAUCCCUCUCAGCAAGCCUUCAUUCAAGGAAGGAGAAUCAGUAACAAUAUCAUUAUUGCUCAGGAAAUUACUCAUUCUUUUCCCUGA